CCUACGGGUGACAGCAGUGGGGAAUAUUGCACAAUGGGGGAAACCCUGAUGCAGCGACGCCGCGUGAGUGAAGAAGUAAUUCGUUAUGUAAAGCUCUAUCAGCAGGGAAGAAAAUGACGGUACCUGAGUAAGAAGCCACGGCUAACUACGUGCCAGCAGCCGCGGUAAUACGUAGGGGGCAAGCGUUAUCCGGAUUUACUGGGUGUAAAGGGUGCGUAGACGGCAGUGCAAGUCUGGAGUGAAAGGCGGGGGGUCAACCCCAGGACUGCUCUGGAAACUGUACGGCUGGAGUGCAGGAGAGGUAAGUGGAAUUCCUAGUGUAGCGGUGAAAUGCGUAGAUAUUAGGAGGAACACCAGUGGCGAAGGCGGCUUACUGGACUGUAACUGACGUUGAGGCUCGAAAGCGUGGGGAGCAAACAGGAUUAGAUACCCGGGUAGUC
rnacentral:rRNA from 1 species